rnacentral:lncRNA from 1 species
CUUGGUCUGCCAGAAAAAAAGUAUUGCUGCUUUGCCCUGAUACACACAGAAGUCUAGAUUCCAUUCAUACCAAUAUCGGUCCUUCCUCCCCCAUGAAGCAUGUGAGAUGCUCUCUCUCCAUCGCCAAGUUUCUUCUUUCUGCUGGUUUCUCUGGCAAAAAGGCAAGAGGCAAGAACUGAUGUGGGAAACAGUGGCAGAGAGUUAGAGAAAGCAGCAAAGACUACAAGACUUCAGAGUCACAGCUGGCUACAAACCCACCCCCUGCACCCAGUACCACUAGCUGGAGACACUGGAAGAUGCUCUUGUUAUUCUCGGAUCACCGCCUACCCCCAAAACCCAUCCUCCCUGCUGCCUUACCUGAGAAGUUGAACCCCAGAGACAGAAAGGAUCACCUGCACUCCUUGUACUGGGCCUUCCCAUCGGCCAACGUGUGGCAUGAACGAGGCUGCAUCCCUCUUCCAUAGCACCUGCACUCGUAGGCUCUGCAAAUUUCAUCCCCACCUUUGGCCCUUCAGGCCUAGGGCAAGUCACAGCUCCCCAGAACUGUUCAUCCCCAGGUGUCUCGCCAUCCCUAGAUAGCACCUGUAAGCCUGACUACACCUCUGUAAAGCG